AGGACGAACGCUGGCGGCGUGCUUAACACAUGCAAGUCGAACGCUGAAGCCUGCAGCUUGCUGUGGGUGGAUGAGUGGCGAACGGGUGAGUAACACGUGAGUAACCUGCCCCUGACUCUGGGAUAAGCCCGGGAAACUGGGUCUAAUACCGGAUAUGACCAUUCUCCGCAUGGAGUGGUGGUGGAAAGUUUUUCGGUUGGGGAUGGGCUCGCGGCCUAUCAGCUUGUUGGUGGGGUGAUGGCCUACCAAGGCGACGACGGGUAGCCGGCCUGAGAGGGCGACCGGCCACACUGGGACUGAGACACGGCCCAGACUCCUACGGGAGGCAGCAGUGGGGAAUAUUGCACAAUGGGGGAAACCCUGAUGCAGCGACGCCGCGUGGGGGAUGACGGCCUUCGGGUUGUAAACCUCUUUCAGUAGGGAAGAAGCCUUCGGGUGACGGUACCUGCAGAAGAAGUACCGGCUAACUACGUGCCAGCAGCCGCGGUAAUACGUAGGGUACAAGCGUUGUCCGGAAUUAUUGGGCGUAAAGAGCUCGUAGGUGGUCUGUCACGUCUGCUGUGGAAACGCAAGGCUCAACCUUGCGCGUGCAGUGGGUACGGGCGGACUAGAGUGCAGUAGGGGAGUCUGGAAUUCCUGGUGUAGCGGUGAAAUGCGCAGAUAUCAGGAGGAACACCGGUGGCGAAGGCGGGACUCUGGGCUGUAACUGACGCUGAGGAGCGAAAGCAUGGGGAGCGAACAGGAUUAGAUACCCUGGUAGUCCAUGCCG
rnacentral:rRNA from 1 species